rnacentral:rRNA from 1 species
AUGGCUCCUCUCCAAGCUCUCUCCUCCGCCCUCGUCCUGCUGCUCCUCGCGCAGCACGCGCGCACGGUGAGGGUGAGCACGCUGGAGGACACGUGCAGCCUCGUCGGCACCGGCGGGGCGCAGGACUACGACUUCUGCGUCAAGACGCUGGGGGCGGACCCGGCGAGCGCGACGGCCGACGAGCUCGGCCUGGCCAUCGCGUUGAGGAUGGCCAUGGCGACCGCCAAGGACACCGGCGACCGCAUCGCCCGGCUGCAGGCCGCCGAGACGUCGCCCCGGCGGCGGCUGGCCCUGGACGAGUGCGCCAAGGAUUACGCCUAG